rnacentral:rRNA from 1 species
AGUAAUUAAAAUUUAAUAUGACAUUAUUUCACGAAGUAAAAUGAGCUAAAAGAAUAAAUAUAUUAGUACCUGGUUCUAUAUGUAGCAAUAUAUAGAUAUUAUUAUCUUUUAGGGGUGACAUGCCUUUCAAAUUUUACGAUAACUUGAUGCGUAGGAAAAAUAUUGAGUAUUAAAUCAGAUUUAAAAUGCUAAGGUUUUAGAAAAAUAUUAUACCCUAUAUAUAAUGUGUAUAUUAUGUAAUUAUAUAUACUUUUAACAUUCUAUAAUUAAUUUAGUUAACUAUAUAUUUUAUACUAUGUUGAAGUAUUAAAUUGACGUGUCUGUUAAUAAUGUUACUAUUAGUAUUAAAAUAGAUUUUGUUAAGGAACUCGGCAAAGAUAUUAUUCAACUGUUUACCAAAAACAUUGCUUUGUGUAUUUAUUCAAGGUUAACCCUGCUCAAUGGUUUAAACUAAAUAGCCGCAGUACUUUGACUGUGCAAAGGUAGCAUAAUCAUUUGGCUUAUAAUUGAAGUCUGGUAUGAAUGGGUAAAUGGAUAAUAACUAUCUACCAUUACAAAUUGAAUUUACUUAUUAAGUGAAAAUUCUUAUAGAAGAAAAAUAGACGAGAAGACCCUAGAAAUUUUUUAUACAUAUACUAAAAUAAUCUAUUUUGUUGGGGCGACAUGGUAGCAGUUAACCUACAUAAUAUAAUUAAAAAUUACUGAAAGAUAUAAUUAAAUUACUCUAGGGAUAACAGCAUAAUACAUAAGAGUUUGUGACCUCGAUGUUGGACUAGGUAAAUUAAUGUUUAGAAGAUGUUAAUAUGAGCUCUGUUCGAGCUAUUAUACCUACAUGAUCUGAGUUCAGACCGG